ACAUCUAUAAGUACCUCACCUUCUUCACCCUUGCUCAUUGCAUCCAAGUCUCCUUUGUUAUUCCUCCACCCACCUCUGUUCAUUCUCUUCUCCAUUACCAUCUUCAUCACCAUGUCCACCUGUGGCAACUGCGACUGUGCUGACAAGAGCCAGUGCGUGAAGAAAGGAAACUCUUACGGGAUCGACAUCGUUGAGACCGAGAAGAGCUACUUUGAUGAAGUGGUGGAGGUGCCAAUGGCGGCCGAGAGCGGCGGCAAGUGCAAGUGUGGUGCAAGCUGCAAAUGUGUGAAUUGUACCUGCGGAACCCAUUAAGCACUCCAUAUCUAAAUAAAGAGAAGCAAGUGGUGGUAGUGCAUUGUGUGUGCGAAAGCGUGUGAGCUUUCUGAGUGUUUACGUAUGUAUAUGUGUAUGUAUGUAUGUAUGUAUGCGUUCAUGGAUAUGUACCGAAUACCUGUUUGUGCUCGGUAUAUACAUACAUGAUUAUGUGUACUGUAGGAGUCUGUUAGGAUAAAUGGAGUAAAAGUGCUAGCAGCUCAUGGAUAGUUUCUUUUUA